rnacentral:rRNA from 1 species
GAGAAGUGCGAAUGCUGACAUGAGUAACGACAAUGGGUGUGAAAAACACCCACGCCGAAAGACCAAGGGUUCCUGCGCAACGUUAAUCGACGCAGGGUUAGUCGGUUCCUAAGGCGAGGCUGAAAAGCGUAGUCGAUGGGAAACAGGUUAAUAUUCCUGUACUUCUGGUUACUGCGAUGGAGGGACGGAGAAGGCUAGGCCAGCUUGGCGUUGGUUGUCCAAGUUUAAGGUGGUAGGCUGAAAUCUUAGGGAAAUCCGGGGUUUCAAGGCCGAGAGCUGAUGACGAGUCGUCUUUUAGAUGACGAAGUGGUUGAUGCCAUGCUUCCAAGAAAAGCUUCUAAGCUUCAGGUAACCAGGAACCGUACCCCAAACCGACACAGGUGGUCGGGUAGAGAAUACCAAGGCGCUUGAGAGAACUCGGGUGAAGGAACUAGGCAAAAUGGCACCGUAACUUCGGGAGAAGGUGCGCCGGCUAGGGUGAAGGAUUUACUCCGUAAGCUCUGGCUGGUCGAAGAUACCAGGCCGCUGCGACUGUUUAUUAAAAACACAGCACUCUGCAAACACGAAAGUGGACGUAUAGGGUGUGACGCCUCCCCGGUGCCGGAAGGUUAAUUGAUGGGGUUAGCGCAAGCGAAGCUCUUGAUCGAAGCCCCGGUAAACGGCGGCCGUAACAAUAACGGUCCUAAGGUAGCGAAAUUCCUUGUCGGGUAAGUUCCGACCUGCACGAAUGGCGUAACGAUGGCGGCGCUGUCUCCACCCGAGACUCAGUGAAAUUGAAAUCGCUGUGAAGAUGCAGUGUAUCCGCGGCUAGACGGAAAGACCCCGUGAACCUUUACUGUAGCUUUGCACUGGACUUUGAGCCUGCUUGUGUAGGAUAGGUGGGAGGCUUUGAAGCGUGGACGCCAGUUCGCGUGGAGCCAUCCUUGAAAUACCACCCUGGCAUGCUUGAGGUUCUAACUCUGGUCCGUAAUCCGGAUCGAGGACAGUGUAUGGUGGGCAGUUUGACUGGGGCGGUCUCCUCCUAAAGAGUAACGGAGGAGUACGAAGGUGCGCUCAGACCGGUCGGAAAUCGGUCGCAGAGUAUAAAGGCAAAAGCGCGCUUGACUGCGAGACAGACACGUCGAGCAGGUACGAAAGUAGGUCUUAGUGAUCCGGUGGUUCUGUAUGGAAGGGCCAUCGCUCAACGGAUAAAAGGUACUCCGAGGAUAACAGGCUGAUACCGCCCAAGAGUUCAUAUCGACGGCGGUGUUUGGCACCUCGAUGUCGGCUCAUCACAUCCUGGGGCUGAAGCCGGUCCCAAGGGUAUGGCUGUUCGCCAUUUAAAGUGGUACGCGAGCUGGGUUUAGAACGUCGUGAGACAGUUCGGUCCCUAUCUGCCGUGGACGUUUGAGAUUUGAGAGGGGCUGCUCCUAGUACGAGAGGACCGGAGUGGACGAACCUCUGGUGUUCCGGUUGUCACGCCAGUGGCAUUGCCGGGUAGCUAUGUUCGGAAAAGAUAACCGCUGAAAGCAUCUAAGCGGGAAACUUGCCUCAAGAUGAGAUCUCACUGGGAACUUGAUUCCCCUGAAGGGCCGUCGAAGACUACGACGUUGAUAGGCUGGGUGUGUAAGCGUUGUGAGGCGUUGAGCUAACCAGUACUAAUUGCCCGUGAGGCUUGAC